AUUGAACGCUGGCGGCAGGCCUAACACAUGCAAGUCGAGCGGAUGAAGGGAGCUUGCUCCUGGAUUCAGCGGCGGACGGGUGAGUAAUGCCUAGGAAUCUGCCUGGUAGUGGGGGAUAACGUCCGGAAACGGGCGCUAAUACCGCAUACGUCCUGAGGGAGAAAGUGGGGGAUCUUCGGACCUCACGCUAUCAGAUGAGCCUAGGUCGGAUUAGCUAGUUGGUGGGGUAAAGGCCUACCAAGGCGACGAUCCGUAACUGGUCUGAGAGGAUGAUCAGUCACACUGGAACUGAGACACGGGCCAGACUCCUACGGGAGGCAGCAGUGGGGAAUAUUGGACAAUGGGCGAAAGCCUGAUCCAGCCAUGCCGCGUGUGUGAAGAAGGUCUUCGGAUUGUAAAGCACUUUAAGUUGGGAGGAAGGGCAGUAAGUUAAUACCUUGCUGUUUUGACGUUACCAACAGAAUAAGCACCGGCUACUUCGUG
rnacentral:rRNA from 1 species